rnacentral:rRNA from 1 species
GAUUCCCGCCGCGCCCCGCGCCCGUCCCGCCGCCCCCGCCCGUGCAGCAGUCGAGAAAACUUUGCAAUGUGCGAAAGCACGACAAGGUUAAUCCGAGUGGUUUCUGCUAAAGAAACCUUUUGUCAGUCCUAGAAACACUAACGAAUAAGGGGUGGGCAAGUUCUGGUGUCAGCCGCCGCGGUAAAACCAGCACCUCAAGUGGUCAGGAUGAUUAUUGGGCCUAAAGCAUCCGUAGCCCGUUUUGUAAGUUUUCGGUUAAAUCCAUGCGCUUAACGUAUGGGCUGCCGGGAAUACUGCAUAACUAGGAAGUGGGAGAGGUAGACGGUACUCGGUAGGAAGGGGUAAAAUCCUUUGAUCUAUUGAUGACCACCUGUG